rnacentral:tRNA from 1 species
AGUCUUAUAUUCAAGUAUGAUUUUAAAUUGCAAAUUUAAAGGUAGGAUUGCCUUAAGGCUU